UGGCUGACUGAGGUUACCUUGUUACGACUUCACCCCAGUUAUCGGUCCCGCCUUCGGCAGCUCCCUCCUUACGGUUGGGUCACUGACUUCGGGCGUUACUGACUCCCAUGGUGUGACGGGCGGUGUGUACAAGACCCGGGAACGUAUUCACCGCGACAUUCUGAUUCGCGAUUACUAGCGAUUCCAGCUUCAUGUAGUCGAGUUGCAGACUACAAUCCGAACUGAGACGUUAUUUUUGAGAUUUGCACACACUCACAUGCUCGCUUCCCUUUGUUUACGCCAUUGUAGCACGUGUGUAGCCCUGGCCAUAAGGGGCAUGAUGAUUUGACGUCAUCCCCACCUUCCUCCAGGUUCUCCCUGGCAGUCUCUCCAGAGUG
rnacentral:rRNA from 1 species